rnacentral:rRNA from 1 species
UACGAAGGGGGCUAGCGUUGUUCGGAAUUACUGGGCGUAAAGCGCACGUAGGCGGAUAUUUAAGUCAGGGGUGAAAUCCCUGGGCUCAACCCCGGAACUGCCUUUGAUACUGGGUAUCUCGAGUCCGAGAGAGGUGAGUGGAAUUCCGAGUGUAGAGGUAAAAUUCGUAGAUAUUCGGAGGAACACCAGUGGCGAAGGCGGCUCACUGGCUCGGUACUGACGCUGAGGUGCGAAAGCGUGGGGAGCAAACAGG